CCAGCGGAUCGCAAGGGAGCUCCUCCACCCCAGAGGCCCAGACGCGGCCGCCUCCUUUUUCCACCGGCACCGGGAUGGCGCGGCAGCCCCCUUUUUCCUCUGGCACCGGGACGACGCGGCCGCCGCCUAUGCUGCUCCAUCCCACCGCAACGUCGUCGCUGGCCCUAGCCACGACUUCGUCGACGCAGCGACCGGAGCGGCGGAUGCAGUGCAGCCCGUAUGGUGCGGCGGCGGCGGCUGAAUCCAUGACGGCGACAACGUCCAGCGGUUCCCGCCGGCCCAAGCAGGUCCAUCUUCUCCCCCAACCCCUCUCAUGGGCUCCUCGCUGUCGCCUCGACGGCUGGGCCCCCUCCGCAACCGCCGGCCACCGGCAGCAGCCCCAGGGCCGAUGGCGACUUUCAGGCUGCGGCAUUGCUCAACACCGGCGGCCUCCACGCCUAGCCCCAGCAAGCAUCUCUCUCUCUCCCCCCGUUCUUCUUCUAUGCUGUGCCAGUACGUACCACGGUGGCCAUCCGUUGCCCAGGCCUGUCCAUGCAUUGCAGGUACUCAUACUUCUCUUCUUCCUGAAUAGAUGCUCUUCUGGCAUCCACUGCUUUUCUUUGAUUUAACCCCUAUAAUUUUUCAUCUUCGGUUGUGCAGAUUUUUGUGUAUGUGACUUUAAGGUGUUUGAUGAAAAUCAAGCAGGGUAGGAAAAGAUUUAUUUCUGUUUAUACUCUUUUGUGUAAUCAAAUAUUUCUUUUUCUUCUGCUGGGUGGUUGGGGGUUUGUUUUGGGAUGUUCCAUUGAAUUUGAGAAGACUUUUCAUGCUUAUUUGGAGGCACCAGGGUCAACUAAUUCUGAUCCUAGCAUAAGUAUACUCAAAGGGAGUAUUAAUUAGGCACAGUCUGUCUAGAGCAUUGCACUGUGUUUUUGCUUUGCUAAUACUGAUGUGUAAGUCAAGAAUGUGCGAGUGUAUUGACCUUUCUCUUUUGAAUAAAGAGAUGUGUAAACAACAAACUGAUUCAUAAACGUACAAAUUUUGUUCACUAGAUACACUGCAUGUUCAACACAGAUGAUCAUCAGUGAUAUGACAGGGUCAACUAUUUUCCUAAUAAUUAGUGGUUAUUUCCUAUGAGGGAGCCUUUCUACAUCUCACGUAGCAGAUCUUCUUCGCAACUCUCUUGCUCUUUCAUAAGAAGCUAUACUUUGCAAGGGUCUCAAAGAAAAAAGUCUGUAUUCAACAGACAGUAGAUAGACAUUUUGAAGCAUCAUUUUCGAAUAUAAAUUGGUUUUCUUUAUACUCUGGAGAUAUUACCUCUCUCAACUCUUAUCAUAUAGCAGAGACUGAAUGAUCCUAACGGCAAGAUGUCGACAUAGUAUCCAGGUCUCAGUAUACACACUAAAAAAGAGCAGUUGUUUCCCACUCAUCCUUUCAACAACCGCAACUAUUUUCCAACUUUUUGAGUGACAUAGAAUUCUAUGUUCUGUUUGAUUCCUUGCAACCAACAAAAAAGAUUGGCUACACUCUAUUGUUUGUUCUAUAUUUUCAUUCUUGCUUUUCCUUCGGCUACCUCAACCAGAAAGGGGGAGAAGUGGGUAGCUAGCUUUUUUCAAGUCCAGCAGAAUUUAUCAUUGAUCUAUGCAUGAUUGAACACCAAUUGCGGCAUUCAUUGUGUACUACUACAGUCUUAUUGUUGAGAUGGUUCUCUUACAUUGGUUGAACAAGCUGUGCAUUAUUGAGUAAUGCUGAAUGGAACUAUCUAUUUCUUUUGCCGAUGGUGAAGGAAUUACUGAUCUCAAUUUGCCUGCAAGCUUCAUGGACUGCUCUGAGUUGAGUGCCAACUGCUAAGGUACUAUCCUAAUAUAUAUAAGAUUUCCCAUCGGAAACUUGAAAUCGUAGGGUAUACCAAACUGUUGCAUUAUGGCCAUUCGGUUCAUUUUAUUUGCAUUAAUGUAUGAAGUCUUUUCUCUCGGUGUUGGAAGACAAACUGAAAAAUGUUCCCUCUAUUUACAGUUAUGUUCACUUUAGAUAUAUGAAAAUCUUUGAUUUAUUUUGUCAAUUGUGUUCUUCAUCAGAUGUUGUUCUUAAAAGGUUGCUGAUUACACCUAGAGAGAUCCUCCUAUAAAAGUAGAGUUGCGCUCUUUCACGCACAUCACCCGUGGAUCUCAGUGGAUCUAGAUAGGCAACAUUCAGAUUGCGAAAAACAUAAUUUACCUGCUAUUCUUUCUGGCCAACAAUAAUCUUCCCGGUGACUAAUAUAUAUAUAUAUAUGAUUCUUGGGCUCAUCACAAGAUUAUAGUGGGCAUGUGCAUUUUCUGCAAGGGAAGAUCAUAGAACACAUGUAACUUGGUUCUAUCUGAAACAAAGAAACUAUACACUAGAUAAAAUGAUUAGUCUCUGAAGGGUUAAGCUUAUUUUUGGUUAAUCUACUGCUUCAAGUUUGCUUCAUCAAAUGAUGCCUUUUUUGGCCAUUUUAAUAUUUUACGUUAUGGCAUUCCAUGAUAGUUUGCCCACUUAUUCUGUAGCCACCCUUUCUGAUGACCAAAUCAUGAUAUUACUUUGUUUUUCCUUUUGAUACGUGUGUGAAUUUUCGCAGCACUAAACAACAAUGCAUGAAUACAACAUAAGAUAUGACAGUAAGGUUUGCUUACCCUUGGUGAUCAUCCAAGAGUUGAUGUUUUCUCUCUGAAUUGGGAACAAUAGUCCAACUAAAUAAAUAUGGACGCUUUUGCAUAGGCGGUUCUUAUAAACAAAUAAUUAUAGUAUGAUUAUUUAUUUUGUGCACCUGCAAGAUGCUAUUACUUGUCCUAUAGGAUUGAUUAAUUGGCUUGGAAUUACAGAGGGAUAAUUAUCUUACUCGGAUCUGGACUAUAACUUUUUUGGUUUCAGGUCCAAGUGGCUUCGCGACAGGGUUUUGAAACACUGCUUGUGGGUGACCAUGGGAUGCCCGUAGGAGGGACAAAUAAACAUAGCAUACAGAGAAAUAAUUGAUUCAUCACAA